UGGGGAAUCUUGCGCAAUGGGCGAAAGCCUGACGCAGCAACGCCGCGUGGGGGAAGAAGGCUCUCGGGUCGUAAACCCCUUUCAGCAGGGACGAAACUGACGGUACCUGCAGAAGAAGCGCCGGCCAACUACGUGCCAGCAGCCGCGGUAACACGUAGGGCGCAAGCGUUGUCCGGAUUCAUUGGGCGUAAAGAGCUCGUAGGCGGUUCAGUAAGUCGGAUGUGAAAACCCAGGGCUCAACCCUGGGACGCCAUCCGAUACUGCUGUGACUCGAGUCCGGUAGGGGAGCAUGGAAUUCCUGGUGUAGCGGUGAAAUGCGCAGAUAUCAGGAGGAACACCAGUAGCGAAGGCGGUGCUCUGGGCCGGUACUGACGCUGAGGAGCGAAAGCGUGGGGAGCGAACAGGAUUAGAUACCCCCGUAGUCC
rnacentral:rRNA from 1 species